GGGAGUAUAGCUUAAUGAAUAGAGCAUCCGGCUUCUACCCGGACGGUUGUAGGUUUAAGUCCUACUACUCCUG
rnacentral:tRNA from 2 species